GACAAGGACUUGGUGUAAGAACCACAUAUGAUGUGGCUUCGUUUGGAGAGUGACUCAUCGAACAUUUUCUGCACAGACAAUAAGCACUGAGCCUGCACUCAGUUAGUGCAGUGGAACAAGCUGUUUCAUUUCACAGCUUGGCCGAUUCAUUUAUAGCCCACAAAAAAUUACUUAACACAUGCUGGCAUAUGUAACUUAAUAAGGCUUUCUUUGAGAAGGAGGUGGAAGAUGACAUUUGUAUACACAAAAACAUCCAUACACAUACCCAACCUAACACAAUAUGUUAGCACUCUUUUGUGCCAUAAACCUAGUAGGCAUACUAUCAUGAUAGGUGGAGAUGAAAAUUUUUGGUGAGAACAAGCCUAUUCACUCCUCACAUCAUGAUUUCCAGAUUCCCCCUCAGAUUUAUACUGCAGCUCUGAGGCACUUUCAGUGAAAUAUGCUUAAAGUCUUGCUCAUACCUCCCUGGAGCUACACACUGGAGAGCACAGCCGUGUGUGCUGCACAGCUUGGGUACCAGAGCAAAAGCUUCUGCACUGACUGUUCAUGUGGAAGACAGGGCAAUGUUCAUGAAGAAUGACUUGCCAAGCUGCUGCCUGCCCAUGGUUAGAUACCACACCAGCUGAGACGCCCAGCACCACUGGAGAGAACCCUGCAAAGUACCAGAUCAAGCUCCUCCCGCUUCAUCACAUAGAAGAACCAGUGUCAGGUCGCAAUUUCAGUGUUAUUUGUGAGCAACCUCACAAAUUUUGAGCAAACCCAACAAAUUGCUUCUGCAUCUGUCAGGAAAAACAGUCUGUGAUGUAUAUUUUGUCACAGAAUUUGCCUCUUAAUUCUAAGUCAGAAAAAAUAUUAGAAGCUGUAUAAAAUCUCAGAAAUCAUUUUAACUGAUUAAAGGACACACAAAAUAUUAAAUGAUUGAGAACUGAGAAAACAAAAGGAUUCAAAUGGACUUAUUGAUUGGUGGUAAUGCUAAUUAUUUCUCUGUUGUGAUUAUCAUUGUGAAAUACAGGAUUUCAUGGCCAAAGAAGUUGAAGACCAUGUUUUAUCUUUGAAGUUAUUUUAUUUGUUUUAUUGUUGAUGCCCAAUUUUAUCUUCUUCACAAGUACCACACAUACCACAAGUCCUAUUUCACGAGGUACCUGCUUAUGAGGUUGCAUAACCCCCCUUGCAUGAGGUUUCAGAAGCAAAAUUUUGUGGAUCCAUUGCUGAACCACAAGACUCUGAGUGCUGUUAUGCUCAUGUUCCUCUCAGUGUUGAGUCACAAAGUCUGUUGUUGGUAGCUCUUCCAAAGAGAAAGAAGCUUUAUUCACCAGUCAAAUCUAUACAUUUUACCACAUUCAUAUCUGAAAUUUGAGCAUGUAUACAUUGUAAUUCAGGUGAGCACCAGUUUAACUUCUCUGCACAUUUUCAUUCCUCCUUCCCAACAUAGUUUGGCUACAGGAAAGAAUGCAGACCUUUAAGUCUAUGAUUCUGACCAAGGACCAUCAUACAGAUGUGGAGACUGCAAACUUGCUACUGAAAUGGCUCACAAGACAUCUAAUUAUCCUGUGCAAAGCACUCAACUUCCAAUUUUGAAAUAAAAUCCAUACAAUACAAUUCAGUAGCACAACAUAAACAAUCCUCUACAUUAAAUAGAGCUUCGCCUGAGAUGUCCAUCAUGCUGUAAGCUAAUUGUCACAAUUUCCAUUAAAAAAAAUCAAAAUUUCUAUCUCAGACCUUUUGUGAUAAAUACUUUUAGCAGCUUGCACUACUUCUUCUUUGUGAAAUUUUUGGGUUUAUCCCUUAAUAAUAAUAAUGUUAGUGGUAGUUAGCAAACACCUAAAAUUUAGAAAGGAUAGUGGUCUGUAUUAUAUGUUUACAAUCAUUAUUUUCACAAAAAUAUAAGUAAUUAUAAGUAGUCUUAAUCAGAAAGGUGAGGCAACUACAGUUAAAGAGAGUAAUUGGUACAUUGGAAUUCUUCAUUACUUUUCUAAACUAUCUCAGAGAAGCAUAUAGAUGCAACAGGUAACAAGAUUUCAAGCUUCAUGUCGAAUUUACUUCAGUUUUCCAUGUGACAAAUAAGCUCCAGCAAAGGAGUAGUUUUUAACAAGAAUGCUUCAAGAAACAUAAGGCAAGUCUGUUAUCCCGCUGAGUACUGUGCUUUCUGAUUUUGAAAGCUGUUUGUUAUGCUUUGAAAACAGGCACUGGUAAAGGCAGAAUUAACUACUCUGCUGUCAAAAGACAAAAGUGGUGCAACUGGCACUGAGAAAAAAAAAAAUUGCUGAGUUUUCCUCAGUGAUUUACUAUAAAACCAUCAUCCUUCCACUUGGAAAAAGAAUGUGCAAAUUUAACAACCUGGCUUGGAAUUUUUUUUCCUGUUAUUUAACAAUUCUGUUUUUUUUUUUAAUAGCCCCUUAUUUACAAAGCCUGUGAUCAGAUAUUCCAGGUCUUGUUGUCAUUAGGAAGAGAAAAGAAUACAUUAAUUGUAGGCAGUUGCAGCAGGGAACAUCAAGUAAUAGAACCUAAUUACUCAGAAGGAAUUCAACCAGCUCAGUGGUUAUGAAAAAUCUAUGUAGUUUUUUAAUAAACAGUUGAAGAAGAUUGCUGCUUUAAACUCUUUCGGAUGAGAUGUUCCCUUAAAUAAAAUUAUACCAUCCCCAGUACCAGUCUAGCUCAAAAAUUGUUACCUGUAACUAAUCACCAAGCCUUAAAAAGUCAUAAACAGGCACUGGUGCUGAAAGAGCUCUCCCCAAAUUCCUGCUUAUUGCUUCCCACACAGUGCCCCUGACUUUAUCUCCUAUAGCCAUAAUGUUUGUACAGCUGCAUAAUGAGCUCAUUGGCAGAAAUGAUCCUACUCACUGGAACCUCACCCCUCCCUUGCCCACCCUUGUGUACUGAUUUUGGGUUAGUCACCUAACCUGAAUCAGCACACACCUUAUAUCACCAUGAAGGGUAAGAUGAGGUUCAGGGAAACAAAAAAUGGCAUUUUACAGACAUAAUGCUGGUUUAAAAUGUGCUUUAUGAAGUAAUUAAAAACAGAUAGAAUGAUUCACAGAGCAAAGGACUGCUGGAGCACUCCAGUCCAACCUCACUCUCACACAGCUAAUUUCCACAUUAAGUGAAGCUGAACAGAGUGUUUUUGUAAAGUUUUGAACCAAAACUUUAUUUUGUGUGAUUUUGUUGAGUUGGUUGGUUUAGAUUGCUUUUUAUUUUCCUUUUAUUCAGUUAGAAUUUCCUUUACUUCAGCUUGUGAAUGUUAUCUAUUUCCUAUUUCUGACUGCUGAGCUCUGAGAAGAGUCUGGCUUCAUCUUCUUCAUACUAACAAGCACCCCGUGGAAGGGAAGAAUCCUUUCCUAUGACCUGCUCCCUGCAUAGUUAAUUUUACAGCCCAGUAUGCAAGUAAUAAUGGUCACAAAGAUAUUUUCUAAAUUAAUAUUUUUUCAAGAAAUAUUGUUGCUUUCAUUGUACAAGUGACCUCCUUGGGAAAAAAAAUCUGAUUUGAAGAGUGUUUUAAUCUCUGUUUGGAGCAGAACAGAGUGGACACUGCACAUUUUGCUAUGAGACCAUGAAAAAAAUCUAUUGCUUUGUGGGAAAAAUUCAUUGUCUCCAAUGCCAGGACUUUCAGUAGUUUUAAAAUCGCUUUGGGCACCAAUUACAUUUUUUCAGUUUUGCUCAUUUUAAAGAAGUCUAAAGAAUAUUGAAUUUGUUUUGUGGUCUUUGCAUUAUUUCCCAACUGUUCAAAACCAAAAAUCUCUUUUUAUAGCACAUCUAUUUUACUGUAAACAAUAAAGAAAAGCUGCCUUAGGAAAAGAGCUUUAAAUAUAACUGUGAUGCUAUCAACAAGUUAGCACUUCUGCAUGAAAGCAAGUCCAGUCCAUUCCAGUGUUUUGCUGCAGGAGAUAGAAGUCAGUAGUGCCAUAACAUGAAUCAAGCUGAGUUCUUCAUUGCUCCUUUUUUUGCUGGAGGGAGCUGGAGAGCUCAGAUGCAUUGGAUACAUCUUUCUGUCUGAUAAUGUAUGGCUGGGUGUGCUCUAUUUAAGUUGAAGGCUGGUUGUGAAUCCCAAAGUUUUAUAAUGCUGGGAACGAGCGUUCAUGAAGUGUGCUGGACUCAACUGAAUACGGAGUUUAUCUAAAGAAGUUCCAAGAAGUGAGCAGGUUGGCUUGUCCCUUUGGCCCAACUGCUAGUUAAAAAUCAAAAGAAGGAAUGUAACAGCCUGGGAACACCUCACAGCUCAAGGAUAAUUCAGUCCCUUGCUACUCUUUACUGGAAACAUCUAAAGAAUGAAAUUUAUGCUUUUCCUCACUCUAGUUUUGACAGGCAUAUGCCAGAUUUCCUCACAAGGUGCCCACUCCCCAAUCUUUCAAAGUCUGUCCUUCCAAACAGGCCCAUGGUGUGAACAUUAAAAUUAUUAUAUGCCCUCUGACAAGUUCCCACAUCACCUUUGUCCCUUAUUCUCCAAUUUCAUCUUUGUUCCUCUAGAAGCUCCCAGAUAUUGUUUAUUUCCACCCUCCCAGCUGGUGAAGGAUCCUUUUCUUCCUUCCAUUAACCAACAGUGAGUUAAAAGUCUAAAUACUGGUGGGUUUUGAGCCCUGAAGAAAUCACUGAAGUAUUUAAGAGUGAACUUUCCUGAACUGCUGAUAUUUCCAUGCCUCUCCCAAGGCCUAAUUCUAAAAUUAUAUGAUGUAUAUAUAUGUAGUUCAAAUCUGAGAUAGAUUGAACUGUCAGCAAUGAUAAAUAUUAAGGACAUUGUCUAAAAAAGGAGGAAGUUAUUGAUUCUAUGUGUUGUGUUUUAAUAUGAUCUACUUUGUUUUCUGUUGUGACUUUUUCCUCGAGAUUAUAACAGGUUUUAACUCCGUCUGCUAUGAUUCUUGGUGAACUACAGUGAAGUGAGCAGGGACAGACCCACUAUUUCCACAGAGUUAAAAACAAUGAUGUUCAUUCUCCAGAUAGUAAAAGCUAACGAAACAAAAGCAGUAUUUUAAAUAAUGAAGAACCCCAUAGACACAGAUGAAGCAUUUAAUUCAGAACCCAGGUUUGUUUUUUCUUUCCAAAGAGAACUCAAAUGGGGCAAUACUGAAUUGCAACAGUAAAACUUCCUUUAACUCACUGAGGGCAGCCUCUCCUGUCACAAGCAUCACUUGAAUUCUAAAACUUGUCUGGAUAAGUGAGGGGAGAGCAAUGGAAUGUUGUUUACCAGACUUCAGUAAGGCUUUUGAUGCUAUCGCCCAUGAUAUCCUCAUAGACAAAGUCAUUAAGUGAAGGUUGGACAAGUGGAUGGUGAGAUGGAUGGAGAACUGACUGAACAGAAGAGCUCAGGGGGUUUGAUCAGUGGCACAGAGACCUGGAUGAAAACUUUAAACAAGUAAUAUCCUACAAGGGUUUUGAUACUGGGUCCAAUCUUGUUCAACUUCUAACUUAGAUGAAGGGGUAGAUACUUCCCAGCAAGUUUGCUGAUGACACAAGGCUGGGAGGAGAGGCCAAUACCUCAGAGGGCUGUGCAGCCCUUCAGAUGGACCUCAGGAGCCUGGGAUCAACAGGCUGGAGAGUUGCGUAGAGAAGAAUCUUCUGGAAUUCAACUCAGGAAAAUGCAGGAUCCUUCACCUGGGGAAGAGCACAGACUGUAUCUGCUGACAGGCAGCUCUAUAGAGAGGGACCUGACAGUCCUGGUGGACAAUUAGCUCUGCAUGUGUGCCCUUGUGCCAAGAAUCCCAAUGGAAGAGCAUUGCCAGCAGGCUGAGGGAGGUGAUCCUGCCCAUCUACUCAGCCCUUGUGAGGCCACAUAUGCUGUGCUGUGUCUAGUUCUGGGCUCCCCAGUACAAGAGGGACAUGGAGAUCCUGGAGCACGUCCAUCAAAGGGCUAUAGGAUUUUUUUCCUAUCAUGAGGAAAAGCUGUGAGAGUUGGGCCUAUCCAGUUUUGAGAAGAGAUGACUGAGAGAAGAUGUAGCCAAUAUCUAUCAGUAUCUGAAGGGAUGGUGCCAGGAGGAUGGACUGAGCUCUGUUCAGUGGUGCCGAGCAAUAGGACAGGAGCAAUGGGCAGAAACUCAUGCACAGAAAGUUCCACCUGAACAUGAGGAAGUACUUCUUUAUUUUGUGGGUGACCAAGCAAUGGAAUAGAUUGCCCAGAGAGAGUGUGGAGCGUCCUUCACUGAAGAUAUUUAAAGGCCAUCAGAACAGAUGGAAGGACAGAAUGCGGAAUGUGUGUUAUCUAAAGUUUCCAGACAGAAGCAUUGUCUUUCCACUUAUGCUGAUUUCAAAAUGAUGCAGAAAACUUGGAGUUCAUCUGCCAACCAUCAAAGGAUUUUUCCAAGUAUAUCCAUUUUCUGAAGGUAAGGUGAUUGUCUUCAAUAUAUAAUUUUCUUUCUAUAAUUUUGUAUAUCUGGAGUAGCUCCUUUAAUCUGUGGAAAAACAUCUAGGUAAGGUGUGGUUGCUAGGAGAGGUGAAGAGCAUCUCCUAUCUGCUUCCUAAAUUCUGUUUAACUAUUGCUGUGAAAGCUCUUUUUGUAUCCAAAAUGUUCACCAACAGGAGAGAAAAAAAAUCUCAUGUUAUUUUUCUUUUAUUCUUUUUCUAACACCAUCAAGAUUCCUUUCUUUGGAAAUGGCAGAUUUCAGGUAUAGAUUUAUCAUGGGCUUUAAAAAACUUAUUGUUACACUGAUAGUUCCUGAAUCAUAACAAUCUGUAUUACAAUUUUUCAGGAAUGUAGAUAACUUUGCUUUGUGGAUGUGUUUGAAAGGGAUGCACUAAGUAGGAAGAAAGAUACUCAGUGUAGAUAUUCUGUAGGCUUCACUUUUUCAAACAUAAAAAUUAUGGCAAAAAUGUGUCUUUAUAAAGUCAAGAGACUUGCAUACUGCUUUAAAAUAUAAAUGAAACCAAAAAUAGUCUUAAAACCAACAGAUAAACAAUGAGAUAAGGUGCCUUUUUUGUUAGUCUCACAAAUGUCCAGAGACAGGGUGGAAAGAUCCCCUUUUCUCUCUUUUACUUGCCAAGAAAAAGGAACUUUUCAGACUAUCAGACUAGUCAGAAUGGCAUAGCUGAUAGAAAAGGCAAAUAAUUGCAUUCAGAUCAGUAGGAAUCCAAUUCCUUCAAGAAUAUAACAGAGUGUUCCAUGAAUAUGAAUGUGUUUCUAAAAAGCUAAACACUCAGCCAGGCACAGCCAAGGCAAUCAGGAGGAUGGUGAAUAAUGCUAGAGAUAUUGGACAAGCAGCAGGAGGAAAAAGCAAGAAUCCAAAGCACACUCAGCAGGCAUUGAUGCAAGUUACACAUGGGACUAAUAAAUCACCCAAAGUGACUAAUUAUGGUAGGCAGAAUGUUAGCAGGCUUCUGAAAAGAAUGUGGACUUCUAGGUACUACCGCAGUGUGAAACAUGAAGGCAGGUGUAUGUAUCAGAUGACUGACCCAGCUGAUCUCCAGAAGAUUUGUGCAUUUUCUAAGGCAUGCAAAUUCAGUCAUGGUGUUAUCACAUUACAAACAGUCAGAGUGCAAAGCCAAUAUGGCAGACAAAAAAAUAAAAUCUAAAGAAAUAGUAAAAAAUAAGUUAUUACAGAAAGAAAGCAUACCAAAGGGGUUUACAAAAAAUAAAGACUUCUGCAAAGGAUGGCAUUAACACACAAUUUGGGAGCAUUAAUGUCAUCUGAUAUGACCCACUUAAAGAUUAGAUAAGGAAGCUAAAAUAAAUGCUUUAAAUUUUCAUUAUAAUCUUUUGGCUCCUAACUCAAGAAAAAAGACUGUCUCAUCUGGAAUGGCGUAUUUGAUUAGAAAUUUGUGGGAUACCCAGAACUUUCUGGAGCAGCAACUGGAUUGAGGCAGAAAAAUAGAGUAUUUCAAAGCAGAAUACACCUAUGCUUGAAGACCCUGAAUAUCUUUGCAGAUAAGAAUAAAGUUUAUUUAUCCUUUAUUGCAUCAACUUCUACACACAGAGUACAUUACUUUGAGCCACUAGAUUUGUGUAGUCUUCUGUCCAUUUGAUUCCCUCCCAGUCAUAGCCUAGUAACAUUAGAGUAAAUAAUGCACAAAAGGCAAGACAAACUUAUAAUAGACUAAAAUAAUUACAAAUUCCUUUGCAGGACAAACUGUUAGGAAUUCUUUAUGAGAAAUAUACACACCAAAACUUUCCCUUAACAGACAAGCCAUUAUUCACAUACUGCAGCAGUGGAUAACAUUUCAUUAGAGCUGCAAGCCUGUAAGACUACUAUCAUAGGAUGCAAUAAUGAACAUUGUGGAAAGCGUAUUAAUCUGAAAAUAAAGUGGGAACAAAGCAGGAGUUUCUAGUUAUAGAUAUGAAAGCAAACUCUCUACCACAAGACUUGGACAUAUCCAGGCAUUGUCAAAAUAGGAAAGAUUUAUAUUCAUUCUAAUGCACUGAUUUUUAAAGCCUUCUCUCUUGGAACACAAUUUACAGUCCAAUAAUUUUGAGGACUCUCACAUGCUAAAAUGUAGAUCAGCUGAAGUUUAAUUUUAGCUUGCCUUGUGAUCCCACCUGCACUUAAACAGCAUUCCAAAGUAGCAGUUUGAAUAUCAGUCCAAAAAAAGGGGUUGUGUUCAAGAAUAUGUGAGGGUAAACAAAAAAACUCUUUUCUGAAUCCCCAGCAUAAUAGUUUAAUCUCUAAGUAAGUUAUAAAUUAUUCUAAAAAAAUAAGAAUAUUAAGACAUUAGGGAGCUACAAGGGACUGUCUAGUAUAGAAACAGGUUGUGGCAAUCUUGGUUUUGGGUUUUUUAAAAUUUCAAAUCAAUACAGCAGAACUGAAGUUCUAAUACAGAUUUUUUUUCCAUAGGAACGGCUGUGUUAUCAUUUCUAGGCAAGCUUAGAAUAAUUCAUUACAGGAAAUGCUUGUUAAAAUAUGUUAUAUUUGUGAAUGGAUGCUCUUGGAUUUGGAUUCUUAUUUCUGUCCUUGAGUAUUAAUUUCAGCAAGCAACUGGACUAGAACAUAAGAAAAACAUAUCACUGUUAAAGAUAAUCAAUCAGUAGAACAGAGUAACAAAGCUGGAAGUCUCUAUCAACACUAAGAAUUUUUUGGUGCAAGGUGAAAAAAGCCUUUUAGGAACAGUAUUGUGCUUUGAAUCAUUGGAAUGACCUUUUGAAGACUUAACUACUACUUAUCAUUGCUACUACUGAAUAGUCUAUAUGUAUUUGAGUACUGAAUGUUAUUGACUUUAGAACAGAUCUAUUUUACUUAAUUUUUUCCCUUGGAGGAUGCACAAAAUUCCAGAUCCUAAUCAUACUGCUAAAUGGAAGACAUCACCUGAAUUUUCCAACAAGUCAUACUUGUUAAGUCCUAGUUUCAGUUUCAUGACAGAGGGGCAACCAUUUAGGAUUUAGCAAUUUACCUUCUAUCAUAUUAAUGCCUCAACCUGAAUUUUACUGAUCCCAAAUGAACAUUAAUUAUGGAAAGUGACUAUAUUUCUAUUUUAAAUGUCUCUCUAGAUGAAGUAGCACUUCUUCAGACAUGGCUCAGGUUCAGUUAAUCCCACUCCAGCACCUUCACCUUCACCUUCACUCCAUUUUGUUGGGGGUAUCCCUCUGCUUGCUUUCCAGUGUUCACAGUCUUCAUGAUUAACUGGUUAUUUAUACUAAAUGUGCCAGGUAGUAUUAAAUCAGAUUUGCUUCAUAACCACAUCUUAUUAAAAGAGAUAAGUUCUGGAAUUCUCCUAUUUUUUUUUUUUAAUUCUGAAAUUGAACCAUAUAUGCUUAUCAGAUUUUUGAUGGAAUUUCUAGCAUUCUGAUUCCAAGUCAAAAUACUCUGAGCUCAUUGCAACUCCUAGAAGUCACCAGAAGAAGCUCUCUGAAAGUUCCAAGAAGCUGUAUGUUAACAGAAAUGUGUUUAAGAGGUAGGUCAAUAAAAGUGAUUAAUAAUAUUAAGCAAACAAAUUAACUUUCCAGGCAAUUACUGAAGUAUCACUUCAAAGGUAUGAAAUUUUGUUUUUCAGAAUAAACACUUGUGCCUUUCAGAUUUUUUGUUGUUUCAUUUGUCUUCUUAGUAAU